GUUGUCGGAUUCGCAUCAAUUCAUAUGUGUUGCGGUGGGUUGGAGUGGAACUUGAAUUAAAUUCCACCCCAAUCCACCCCAACACAUGUGGAUUGAUGUGAAUCUGACA
rfam:Sorghum bicolor cultivar BTx623 chromosome 2, whole genome shotgun sequence.